rnacentral:sRNA from 1 species
GCGUCGCAGUGUUGUUGCAAACGCCGGUCGCGUAGGUUGUUGCUAGUGUGAAACGUUGAGCGCAGCGCCCACCCACACACACAUACACAUAUGUACGUAGUCGAGUGCGCGGAGCAGUCAGUUGUUGCCGCCAAUUGAAUGGACAGUCGCGGUUAACGAAACACGAAAAGUCGACUCGCCUCGCGUCGCGUGGAGUUCACUUGAGUUGAGUGGCGGCGAGUGUGUGUGUUUGCUUUUUUUUCGAACGCGCGAAACACGCGGCUGUUGCGGCGGUCCCGAGUGCAUUACUCACUCUUUUUUUUUCGGUUACUUGCAAGUGAUACCCCUUAAACGACCCCUUCCCCCCCACACUUCAAUCCCCCUCGCUGGCAUCAAACGCCAAAGGUGAUUAUAUUCGGAAAAGCAACGCCGUGGAGUAAAUAACGGAGCGGAGAGCGGAUCAACACAAAGCGAGACUACCUUUGGGGUCAUAGUUCAUGUUUCCCAUAUACACUUUUUAAACGCCGAUGAAGUUUAAGACUUGCUGAUGAUUGGAGUCAAAUAAUUAUAAAGGUGAGAUUGACACAUCACAUUGCAGCUGAAGUGGGGAGCCCUUGUACUUUUCCGCAUUCCGGAAAGUAAGAAGUACAUAGCCACGUAAAAAGGAGUGGUGACUAUAAAUAGGCGAUAGUACUUGACGUAAUUAUCCCUAGAAAUGUAUACAUCGUGAUCUAUGUUCUAUUGAGGCUUAGCAAAGAAGGCAUCGCAUUAAGUGCCCAAUCCGAAUAUAAACAGUACAGUAGACCAUUGGUAUCCCCGCCCAGUUUCUGGUCACAUAUACCCUUGUGUUUUCCGUUCUGUUUGCUUACUAUUGGAGCCCAAUUAAAAUUCCUAAAUGCUGUUGCUCGGCAUCUUGUACACAAGAUGCUCACCGCUCACAGAAAGGGAAUAAUUUAUGCAUUUUUGGUAUAUUUGUAUGUUCGUUUGUACAUGUAUACACUUUCCCUGCGCUGGCUUUAUUAUCGCUCUGAUUGUUAUUUUUCGUUGGCUCCGCAACGCGCCACUCACAACUCACACAGAAAAAAAAAAAAUUAAAAAAAAGGAAAGAAAUGAGAAAAUUGUACUUUUGCUUGGCAUUCUGACUCAACGUUGCAUUGUUUACGGCGUAUUCCGCUUCUUGGUGGCACCACUCGACUCCACUUCGCCACUCCACUCCACUGCACUCCACUUGAUGGUGGGUCAAAUGAAGUGAACGGGUGCCGCUGCGCCGAAAGAAUUGCUGGCGGGGAUCGUGGAGCGGGGAGCGGGAAGCGGGGAACAGGCGGCUCUGGCACAAUUGUGCUCAUAAUUGUUUAUCUAAAUUGACUGCAGACCUCACUUUAAGAUGUACGAGUUUAUGAAUGUUGUUUGUAGGUACAGUGUGCAUGCAACUCGAUACAUGUAAACAAAUACACACACUUCCACACACAGAGAACACACACCCAUAUUGACUUGUACGGAACGAGCACACAUAUCGAUGCCCCACUGUGACCUAUAGGAGUCAUCGCCCUGGGCAGUGUAAACAAUGGAAUUUAAAAGGUUGCAUUCAGGAAACUUUGCAUUAAUUGUGCUUCAUUUUGAAUAAUUGAUAGUAAUGUGUAAAGUAUAGUUCAAUUAUUUCAAUAACGAUUAACUUGCUACAUAAUGUAUGGCCAUUCGAUUUAACAAAAGCGACACCAUUUCAUAUGCAUUAUUUCUGUGCAAAUAGAAAAAAAAUUAAAUCGAAAUAAAGGAAACUGAAAGCGCCACUUUUGCCCAAUGCCAACAUACAUCAUUGUUCAUUUGCGCU